UUCCCUUUUUCUCAAUGACAGUCAUUAUCGUGAUAUUUCAGAUUAUACGAAACUGCAAUAAGACUUGGGGAGCUUCAGGCUCAGUUUAAGCUACCAAUCGAUCCGCAGGAGUAUGCCCAAGAAAAUCUUAAGUUUGGUUUGGUUGAAGUGGUAUAUGAAUGGGCAAAGGGCACCCCAUUUGCUGAAAUCUGUGAACUUACUGAUGUCCCUGAAGGUUUAAUAGUGAGGACUAUUGUCAGAUUAGACGAGACAUGUCGGGAAUUUAGAAAUGCUGCAGCAAUUAUGGGUAACUCGUCAUUGUACAAGAAAAUGGAAACUGCUUCUAAUGUGAUCAAGCGUGACAUCGUGUUUGCAGCUAGCUUGUACAUUACUGGGGUUUGAUAAGGUCAGAAGGCCUUGAUUUCAAGUGCAAGCCCAAAGAAACCGCUGGGUGCUUGUUGUACACUAAAAUAUUUUAGCCAAGGUGUGGACUUGAGCAAGGAUACGCUACACUUGGGUAAAUGUGUACAGAAUUUCCAGUCGUUCAUAUGUAACAUUACCAAUCUGCAAAAAUAUGCCGUUAGCUCAGAGAAACACAGGAACUUUGAGAUUUACUGUAUCACAUUCUUGUAAAUUUAGAUGUAACUUUGAGUUUUGCAUUCAUGUGCUUAUCUUAAAGUUUAACACAAGACACUUGGGUUCAGGUUUGUCAAUUAAAAAGUUGAAUGAAAGGAUUCAUUAUGAAGGUUAACUAGCUCUUGAAUGUGAUUGAUGCUAAGCAAGCUGUUGAGCUGGUGA